rnacentral:lncRNA from 1 species
UAAUACUGCCCUGAUUAUGGCUCCGGAGUGAAGAGAGGUGCAUCAGCAGGUAUAUCAAGGCGUUGGCUGGUCUGUGGUGGAGGAGUGGCUGCUCUAUGAGGAUCGAAAGUAGUGUCACAUGCAGGAGCUGGUGGAUCAGCAGGAGCAGCAUCAAUAUGAGGCUCGUUAGGCUGUUGUGUUAAAGGGUGCUCAGUCGGAGAGGGAGGGCCAGCUGGAUCAUCCGCUAGAGGGAUGUCAAAAUGGCUCUGCUCUAGAACCCGACUCUGUGGACAAGCAGGUGCAAAGUCUGUAGUAAAAAUAUCAUCAAACAUGUCAUUGGCCAUAGAGGCCUCU